CAUAAUCUCCUUUACCCUUGACAUGCAUUUAGUCAUUUGUGUGAAUCUGCCUCUUCUGGGUCAGAUUGCAGAUUACAGCCUUCACAUCAAGAUGUCUACCCAGUCUAUGCUUCCAUUAUCCAUUACUUCAUUGUUCUUCUGCCUGUUUAAAUCCUUAUUUUGAUCAUGCCUUCUACCAUAAAACUCUGCACAUUCAGUAAUUAAUAUCAGUGAUCUCAUUCUUUCUCUUCCACCCACCAGAUCCCAAGACCCAGCUUUUGAUCUCCCCCAGGGGUCUUAAAGAGUUUGGUGGAUCCCAGCCAGUGGCAGUAAAUCACAUGAGCAGGACCCACCUUUCUUCUAUACUCCACAUGGCCUGACUCCCUGUUUGCGCUGUCCUUUGUGUGUACACUUCUGAGGAAAAGGGUUCUUGUACACUCUCUAUGGAGCACCCAGACCAAAGGGGUCCUGAUUCUAGGUGAGCCCUCUGUGAGUCCUUCUCCUACAAACACAGGAGUACACAUUUGGGAAGUCUGAAGGAGGUGACAUUUGUAUUAUCAUACACGCUGCC